rnacentral:misc_RNA from 1 species
AAAGAAGGGGGCCCACAAUCAUCUGCAAUAAAAUUUUUACAACUAGAAGAUCAAAAUUGCUUGGAAUUUUAAUCAAAACAGUACAUCAUACAUCUUGUAUGCCCUUUCUCCAGAAAGCAAACAAAGAAUCAAGCAAAUAUGAUGGUGUGCAAUAGUUAAUCAAAAUGAGUUUUAACCUUCAUUAAAUAUGUCAGUUGAAGAGAGCACGUAAGAUCAGACUAAUGCUCUCCUAAACAUCAGAAACCAUAGAAUUUUCAUGGUUAAACUUCAUACCUUCCCCUGCAUUGAUGAACAAA